rnacentral:rRNA from 1 species
UACGAAGGGGGCUAGCGUUGUUCGGAAUCACUGGGCGUAAAGGGCGCGUAGGCGGCUUUAUAAGUCGGGGGUGAAAGCCUGUGGCUCAACCACAGAAUUGCCUUCGAUACUGUAGAGCUUGAGACCGGAAGAGGUAAGUGGAACUGCGAGUGUAGAGGUGAAAUUCGUAGAUAUUCGCAAGAACACCAGUGGCGAAGGCGGCACUCUGGGCCGGUACUGACGCUGAGGAGCGAAAGCGUGGGGAGCGAACAGG